GACGAACGCUGGCGGCGUGCUUAACACAUGCAAGUCGAACGGUGAAGGGGUCUGCUUUUGUGGGCCCUGGAUGAGUGGCGAACGGGUGAGUAACACGUGAGUAACCUGCCCCCUUCUUCUGGAUAACCGCAUGAAAGUGUGGCUAAUACGGGAUAUUCUGGGUCUGUCGCAUGAUGGGUCUGGGAAAGAUUGCGCCUUUGGGUGUUUUUGGUGGGGGAUGGGCUCGCGGCCUAUCAGCUUGUUGGUGGGGUGAUGGCCUACCAAGGCGGUGACGGGUAGCCGGCCCGAGAGGGUGGACGGUCACACUGGGACGGAGACACGGCCCAGACUCCUACGGGAGGCAGCAGUGGGGAAUAUUGCACAAUGGGCGCAAGCCUGAUGCAGCGACGCCGCGUGAGGGAUGGAGGCCUUCGGGUUGUAAACCUCUUUCGCCAGUGAAGCAGGCCUGCUCCUUGUGGGUGGGUUGACGGUAGCUGGAUAAGAAGCGCCGGCUAACUACGUG
rnacentral:rRNA from 1 species